rnacentral:rRNA from 1 species
CAGUUCGGAUCGCAGUCUGCAACUCGACUGCGUGAAGCUGGAAUCGCUAGUAAUCGCGCAUCAGCCAUGGCGCGGUGAAUACGUUCCCGGGCCUUGUACACACCGCCCGUCAAGCCAUGGAAGUCUGGGGGACCUGAAGACGGUAACCGCAAGGAGCCGUUAAGGGUAAAACAGGUAACUAGGGCUAAGUCGUAACAAGGUAUC